rnacentral:piRNA from 1 species
UUCUGCAAAAUUCAAGGAUCG